AUUUAGGCUUCACUAGAAGCCACCAACUCUUCCCAUUUCGCAGCAU
rfam:Neospora caninum Liverpool complete genome, chromosome VI